rnacentral:lncRNA from 10 species
CCAAAAAAACCCAUCAUUUGAGGACGGGUGGAGCAAGAUGCUGAAACAGAAGUCUGCACCCUUUGUCCUCCCUGCUGGAACACCAAAUUUUCACAACUAUCUAGACACAGAAAAGCAUUAUCAUGAACCAAAAAUCAGAGUACUGGUCAUUAUUCUGGACUGAAGAAAUGAAGAACUAAUCCCAACAGCACUAAUACACUGGU